UAUAUAUAUAUAUAUUUGAUGUUAUAUUUGAAUUUGUAUUUUAAAAAUUUAGAUUUAAUAUAAUAUAUUUUGAAAUAUUGGAAAAAGAAAUAAUUGUUUCGGGUACAAAUUAUCGGGUUUGGGUUUGGGUUUCCAAUUUUUGGUCGGGUUCGGGUUUGGAUAUGGAUUUUUAAAAUCCGUCGGGUUCGGGUCUCGGGUUUGGAGUCGGGCUCAGGUUCGGAUUUUUAAAAAUCCGCCCCGAAUCCGACCCGUUGACAUCUCUACUUCUUCAUCCACUGACUUUCCGCUGAGCUCCAUCCUUCGACCCGGCAUGCUCCGCUG
rnacentral:lncRNA from 1 species